rnacentral:rRNA from 1 species
CCCUUAGAUGUUCUGGGCCGCACGCGCGCUACACUGACGAUGGCAACGAGUUUUUCCUUCGCCGAAAGGUGCGGGUAAUCUUUUGAAACAUCGUCGUGCUGGGGAUAGAUCAUUGCAAUUUUUGAUCUUGAACGAGGAAUUCCUAGUAAGCGCGAGUCAUCAGCUCGCGUUGAUUACGUCCCUGCCCUUUGUACACACCGCCCGUCGCUACUACCGAUUGAAUGGUUUAGUGAGGACUCCUGAUUGGCGCCGCCGCCCCGGCAACGGAGCAGCGGACUGCCGAAAAGUUGUUCAAACUUGAUCAUUUAGAGGAAGUAAAAGUCGUAACA